rnacentral:rRNA from 1 species
GGGGUAAAACGCUUUUUUAAAAUUCUAAAAAAUUUUUUGGGGAGAAAGAAAAGACCCAUCCCCUUUUAGAAUUGGGCCCGCUAACGGUGGACGGCUACCUUAAACAAGAAAGGCUAGGGGUAAGUUACGUCACCAGCAGCCGUUGUUAAUACGUAGGUGGCAAGAGUCGUCCAGAAUUUAUUGGGAAGUAAAGCGCGCGCAGGCUGUUCUCCUUAAGUAUUGAUGUGACAGCCCCCCGGCUUCACCCGAGGGAGAGUCAUUGGAAACUGGGGAACUUGAGUGCAGAAGAGGAGAGUGGAAUUCCCACGUGUAGCGGUGAUAUGCGUAGAGAUGUGGAGGAACAUCAGUGGCGAAGGCGACUCUCUGGUCUGUAACUGACGCUGAGGCGCGAAAGCGUGGAGAGCGAACAGGAUUAGAUACCCUGGUAGUCCACGCCGUAAACGAUGAGUGCUAAGUGUUAGAGGGUCUCCGCCCUUUAGUGCUGCAGCAAACGCAUUAAGCACUCCGCCUGGGGAGUACGGUCGCAAGACUGAAACUCAAAGGAAUUGACGGGGGCCCGCACAAGCGGUGGAGCAUGUGGUUUAAUUCGAAGCAACGCGAAGAACCUUACCAGGUCUUGACAUCCUCUGACAACCCUAGAGAUAGGGCUUCCCCUUCGGGGGCAGAGUGACAGGUGGUGCAUGGUUGUCGUCAGCUCGUGUCGUGAGAUGUUGGGUUAAGUCCCGCAACGAGCGCAACCCUUGAUCUUAGUUGCCAGCAUUCAGUUGGGCACUCUAAGGUGUAGACCGGGAUAAGCCUCAGGAAGGAGGGGACGACGUCAAAUCUCCUUGCCCCUGAAAUCGGGGGGUACACGCUCGUGACAAUGGGCAGAACUCAGGGCAGCGAAAAUAUGAGGUUAAUCCAAUCUCACAAAUUUGUUUUCAGUUGGGAUAGCAGUUCGCAACUCGACUGCUGAAGGAGGAAUCCAUCGUAAUCGCUGUUCAGCAUACCGCGGUGACUACGUUCCCGGGCCUUGUACACUUCGCCCUUCUCACCACGCGAUUGGUUACACCUCGAAGUCCAGUGGGUAACCUUAUGGAUCCAGCCGUCCGAAGGGGG